rnacentral:lncRNA from 1 species
GGCUCUACAACUACAAGAAAGAUGGGACCCCUUUUGGAAUCUACUCACCAUCAGUCCUAUCAAAGAUGAUAAUGGAAAGACCAUCAAGUUCUUUGGAAUGCAAGUAGAAGUCAGCAAAUACACAGAAGGUGUGAAUGAAAAGCAGCUUAGACCAAAUGGAUUGCCAAAGUCACUAAUUCGCUACGAUGCUCGUUAGAAGAAGACAACACUUGGUGACAUAGUGGAGGUUGUACAGACUGUUGAGCGUCCGCGCGCUCGCUUUAGUAAAACAGAAAUUUAGGAGAAGAUCGUUGUAUCCCCACUUGUAGAAAAACCGAGUCUAGUUACACCUGGAAGAGAAACGCCCGUCUUUGAUCCUAAAGGCGAUGCAGAUUCUUUGACUGCGUCUAAUACAAAAUCCAAGAAAUCAACUCGCAAUUCCUUAACCGGGGCCAAAGGAAGGACGUCGACCCACGAGCGUCAACCAAGUAUUGAGCCAGAGGAGUUAAUGACAAAAGAUGUAGCUCGCACUGAUAGCUGGGAUCGUGCACAAAGAGUGAGGGACAUGCAUCAGGGAAUAGACUUAGCAACUACACUUGAGGCAUCGAAAAGAAUUUUGUUAUAUCAGAUCCUAGGCUCCCUAAUUAUCC